rnacentral:tRNA from 1 species
GGGGCUGUAGCUCAGCUGGGAGAGCGCUAGCGUGGCACGCUAGAGGUCGCGGGUUCGAUCCCCGUCAGCUCCACCA